rnacentral:rRNA from 1 species
GGGGGCCCGCAAGCGGAGGAACAUGUGGUUUAAUUCGAUGAUACGCGAGGAACCUUACCUGGGCUUAAAUGUAGAGUGCAUGCGGUGGAAACACCCUUCCCUUCGGGGCUCUCUGCAAGGUGCUGCAUGGUUGUCGUCAGCUCGUGCCGUGAGGUGUCGGGUUAAGUCCCAUAACGAGCGCAACCCUUACCGUUAGUUGCCAACAGGUCAAGCUGGGGACUCUAGCGGGACUGCCACCGUAAGGUGAGAGGAAGGUGGGGAUGACGUCAAAUCAGCACGGCCCUUAUGUCCAGGGCUACACACGUGUUACAAUGGCCGGUACAGAGGGCAGCUACUCCGCGAGGAGAUGCUAAUCUUGAAAGCCGGUCUCAGUUCGGAUUGGAGUCUGCAACCCGACUCCAUGAAGUUGGAUUCGCUAGUAAUCGCGCAUCAGCCAUGGCGCGGUGAAUACGUUCCCGGGCCUUGUACACACC